UGAAACCGUUUAGGGGUAAACCUGAGAAACCCGAAAGGUCGAAGGAAGAAAUUCAUUCGCAUUUACGAUAAACUUUAGAUAUUGUGUGUGACGAAUUGAUUUACGAAACAAUUUGCACCCUUUAUUUAUUGAAUUUGUUGUGAAUGUGUGCACUUUUCUUCUGGUAGGACAUCGCGAUCUGUUGAGUGUUGGUCUAUGACUGAUGGUGGAGCUCGUUUAUUUUCGAAUAGAUGAACCCAUUUGUUCUGGCUAACUUGCUCGACAGUAUAAUUGAUGGUUUAAAGUCGCUAAAUUUAUUUAGAGCGUUCAACUUAUUACAAGCGCGCAAAAUUGUAUUGGAAAUCGGACCUAGUGCCGGUUCUAAUCGUUUGUGACUGUUGGUGAUAAUGCAUUUUGAACAGACUAUAAAAACCGAUCUGCGAUGCUAUAGCUUUGGGUAAUUUCAGGACCCGUCUUGAAACACGGACCAAGGAGUUUAGCAUGUACGCGAGUCAUUGGGACUUAUUAAUCCUAAAGGCGUAAUGAAAGUAAAAAUCUUUCUUAGUAAAGAUUAAGGGAAGAUGAAUGGUGUCUGCUUGUUUAAAGGCGGCCGUUUAGCAUUCCCGGGGCGUUUCAAUUUUUUAUUGCAAAAAGAGGCGCACCAUGAGCGUACAUGCUGAGACCCGAAAGAUGGUGAACUAUGCCUGGUCAGGACGAA
rnacentral:rRNA from 1 species